GCCGCACUAGCAGAAUUGGUUAAUGCACAUCUCUUGUAAAGAUGAGAUUCUUGGUUCGAUCCCAAGGUGCGGCACCA
rnacentral:tRNA from 1 species